GAAUUGUGUAGUCCGCACGAGCGCACCCCGCCCUAUGAUGCCAGCGGGUUAUGCCGGGGACUCAUGGGGAACUGCCGGUGAUAAACCGGAGGAAGGUGGGGACGACGUCAAGUCAUCAUGGCCCUUACGCCCAGGGCUACACACGUGCUACAAUGGCCGGUACAAAGGGCUGCAAUCCCGCGAGGGGGAGCGAAUCCCAAAAAGCCGGUCUAAGUUCGGAUUGUAGUCUGCAACUCGACUGCAUGAAGUCGGAAUCGCUAGUAAUCGUGUAUCAGCAACGACACGGUGAAUACGUUCCCGGGCCUUGUACACACCGCCCGUCAAGCCAUGGAAGCCGGGAGUGCCCGAAGUCCGUGAUCCAACUUCGUGAGGAAGCGGCCGAAGGUAAGUUCGGUGACUGGGGCUAAGUCGUAACAAGGUAGCCGUAGGGGAACCUGCGGCUGGAUCACCUCCUUU
rnacentral:rRNA from 1 species